CAACUCCCAACAUUCCAGGAAGUUACCCAGUCUUUGAGCAGACAUGAACGACAACAUCUACUUCACUCACCAUCAUUUAACAGUAAAACAAGAAACUUGUAAGAGUUUCUAAUGGAAGGGCAGGAUUUAUAAGCUACCACUAAUACGGAAAUUCUCUAUGAGAAUAUGAAAAAAUGUGUGUUUAUAUUCAUUGGUGUGUAUACUCAGCCUUCUGAUAUCAGAAUGAGUUUGAAUCUUCUUCAUCUAAAGUUGAGAUGGACGACGGUUUGAUGUGACUGGAGACGUAACAAGGCCACCUCUCUCACGGCGCCAACACCUGCCUGCAUUUGUGUAUCAGGACUCAGUGACUCAGGAUAUUGUUGAGAGAAUUGAAGUCCCAGAAUUUUAACGGUUUCUACACUCCGUAGAUCAGCAGCAGAACCAACCUUUACAGCACUGAUUGCUUCGUACAGGACACAGGUGUCUUUAAGCAAGUCUUUAGAUGACUGGAAGCAGUUACUGUCCUAGAAGACUGACAAGUCCAGCUUUGUUGACGAACCACUGGGGCUACUACCAGGCAUUUAGCGCCCACCUCUGAGUCAUGGUGACGUGGGCUCGGGUGUUUGGAAACCACUUCCUACCCUCAACUGCCCGCUAAGCCCAAGUCACUGACUUCUGACUGGACUUUCCAUACGGUUACCUCACAGCGAUACAUCGACCUGUUGUGUGAGCCGAGUUAACAGGAGGACGGACUGGAAGAGGAAAGAACACGAAAGCAAGUUCUGGGUCUGAAGAAUUCAGAAGAUUCAGGCUGCAGAAGAUAUUUCCCGUGGCAGUACACUUUCAGCGCUUGCCUGCUCUUGAGAAGUUCCAGGUUUUACCUGGAAGCCCUGACCUGGAACUCUCACAAGGCAAGGGGCCCCAAGAUGUCUGCAUGCCUGAAUACAGAAAGAAAAACAGGCAUGAAUGUGGCAAGGGAAUGUAAGCUGCCAUGUUGGACGAGGAGGAGAUCUUGGAUGAGAGCCAUGGUGUGGUGAGAGAAGAAUGAUUCUGAGAGCUUGGAGCUUCAUGUCCCCAACCUGCCACAAGAACCAAGAUCAUGUGCAUCUGUGACAAAAAAUCUUCAUAAAGACAUGACUGUGACUCUCCUUCCUGCUCUGGGCUACACACAUGUGGAGCUGUGGAUUAUGUGUUGGCUGGAUAAUAGGAUUUCAUGAGUCUGUAUUUAUCUCCUGUUGUCCUGUUGUUGCUUUGAUUUUCAGGUGGACUCUGUUUGUUCAAAGCCUUCUUGGCAUCGCCCACCUUAAGAUUAUUCAGAGGUAGGCACGGACCUCCAUUUUACCAUUAUUCCGUGUGCUGCCUCUGCCCAGCCAUGCAUUCAUCACAACAACUAUUGCUAGAUAGUUCAGAAUAUUUAAGCCUAAAUAUCUUACAAACUCUUGUUUCCAGCCAACCUCUUCACCCAUUGACUGCCCAUGAUUUCUUUAUCAUUUUUUAAAAUGUUGUAGAUAAUAAACUCCAACAGAUCACCA
rnacentral:sRNA from 1 species